UCUCACUUCUGUAUGUUGGUUUUUUGAGAGGUUAAAGCUGCCAGCAUGAUCUGGUAAGAACAAAAUCCUAUUAUAUUUCAUCUAUAUUUUCUUAUAAAAAGAAGAAAUGAAUUUAAAUUUGAAUUUUUUGUAAAAAAAAAAUGUUGAGGUUUUUAAUUUCCUUCUUUUGGAUUUGAAAAAAAGAAAAUUAAAUUUUUGUAAGGAUUUUAUUUCUUUGAAGAAAAUAUAGAUAGAUAGCUUUGGUUCCAUCAGGUCAUCUAGCAGCUUCAAUCACUCACCAACAAUACACACAAAGGA